rnacentral:rRNA from 1 species
GGGCCCGCACAAGCAGCGGAGCAUGUGGUUUAAUUCGACGCAACGCGAAGAACCUUACCUGGGCUUGACAUGUAGGUGACCGCCGUGGAAACACGGUUUUCCUUCGGGACACCUUCACAGGUGGUGCAUGGCUGUCGUCAGCUCGUGUCGUGAGAUGUUGGGUUAAGUCCCGCAACGAGCGCAACCCCCGUCCUAUGUUGCCAGCAUUCAGUUGGGGACUCAUGGGAGACUGCCGGUGACAAACCGGAGGAAGGUGGGGAUGACGUCAAGUCAUCAUGCCCCUUAUGUCCAGGGCUACACACGUGCUACAUUGGCGCAUACAAAGGGUGGCAAUACCGCGAGGUGGAGCGAAUCCCAUAAAGUGCGUCUCGGUUCGGAUUGGAGGCUGAAACUCGCCUCCAUGAAGGUGGAGUUGCUAGUAAUCGCGGAUCAGCAAUGCCGCGGUGAAUACGUUCCCGGGCCUUGUACACACCGCCCGUCACACCACGAAAGCGAGCAACACCCGAAGCCGGUGGCCUAACCCUUUUGGGAGGGAGCCGUCGAAGGUGGGGCCCGUGAUUGGGGUG